GACGAACGCUGGCGGCGUGCUUAACACAUGCAAGUCGAACGGAAAGGCCCUGCUUUUGUGGGGUGCUCGAGUGGCGGACGGGUGAGUAACACGUGAGUAACCUGCCCUUGACUUUGGGAUAACUUCAGGAAACUGGGGCUAAUACCGGAUAGGAGCUCCUGCUGCAUGGUGGGGGUUGGAAAGUUUCGGCGGUUGGGGAUGGACUCGCGGCUUAUCAGCUUGUUGGUGGGUAGUGGCUUACCAAGGCUUUGACGGGUAGCCGGCCUGAGAGGGUGACCGGCCACAUUGGGACUGAGAUACGGCCCAGACUCCUACGGGAGGCAGCAGUGGGGAAUAUUGCACAAUGGGCGGAAGCCUGAUGCAGCAACGCCGCGUGCGGGAUGACGGCCUUCGGGUUGUAAACCGCUUUCGCCUGUGACGAAGCGUGAGUGACGGUAAUGGGUAAAGAAGCACCGGCUAACUACGUG
rnacentral:rRNA from 1 species